UUUCAAACUCACGCCAACAAUUUUUCUGUCCUUGCUAACUUUGACCUGCUCUUUUCAUUUCUCGUAUUUCCAGAAUGCUAACAUGAAGUUUUAGAUGGAUUCAAAAAGCGUGAUGAAGGUCUAUGGUGAUAUUGGACCCAACAUACUUCUCGAUAUUGUUCCCACUCCCUGUGUCUGUAGCUUUGGAAAAAUGUGCCAUUUUUGGACAAUGUUUGCUGGUUCCACUGGCUUUAUUGCAGAUUAGAAUAUUUCUGCAGCCUUAAUUGCAGAUUAGAAUAUUUUCUGCCGCCUUAAUUGCAUAUUAAAAUAUUUUCCCUACCAUUAGAAAGAGUGUUUAUUUUAUGAACGCAAAUAUUUACUUGACUUGUGCGGGCA